AGCGAACGCUGGCGGCAGGCCUAACACAUGCAAGUCGAACGAACCUUUCGGGGUUAGUGGCGGACGGGUGAGUAACACGUGGGAACGUGCCUUUAGGUUCGGAAUAACUCAGGGAAACUUGUGCUAAUACCGAAUGUGCCCUUCGGGGGAAAGAUUUAUCGCCUUUAGAGCGGCCCGCGUCUGAUUAGCUAGUUGGUUGAGGUAAUGGCUCACCAAGGCGACGAUCAGUAGCUGGUCUGAGAGGAUGAUCAGCCACAUUGGGACUGAGACACGGCCCAAACUCCUACGGGAGGCAGCAGUGGGGAAUCUUGCGCAAUGGGCGAAAGCCUGACGCAGCCAUGCGGGGUGAAUGAUGAAGGUCUUAGGAUUGUAAAAUUCUUUCACCGGGGACGAUAAUGACGGUACCCGGAGAAGAAGCCCCGGCUAACUUCGUG
rnacentral:rRNA from 1 species